rnacentral:rRNA from 1 species
ACGGGUGCGUAACGCGUGGGAAUCUGCCCUUUGGUUCGGAAUAACAGUUGGAAACGACUGCUAAUACCGGAUGAUGACGAAAGUCCAAAGAUUCAUCGCCAGAGGAUGAGCCCGCGUAGGAUUAGCUAGUUGGUGUGGUAAAGGCGCAUCAAGGCGACGAUCCUUAGCUGGUCUGAGAGGAUGAUCAGCCACACUGGGACUGAGACACGGCCCAGACUCCUACGGGAGGCAGCAGUGGGGAAUAUUGGACAAUGGGCGAAAGCCUGAUCCAGCAAUGCCGCGUGAGUGAUGAAGGCCUUAGGGUUGUAAAGCUCUUUUACCCGGGAUGAUAAUGACAGUACCGGGAGAAUAAGCUCCGGCUAACUCCGUGCCAGCAGCCGCGGUAAUACGGAGGGAGCUAGCGUUGUUCGGAAUUACUGGGCGUAAAGCGCACGUAGGCGGCUUUGUAAGUUAGAGGUGAAAGCCUGGAGCUCAACUCCAGAACUGCCUUUAAGACUGCAUCGCUUAAAUCCAGGAGAGGUGAGUGGAAUUCCGAGU